UAAGAAAUCACAACUGAAAAUUCUCUCUGCCGCCGCACAGGUAAUAAAAAAGGAAAAGAAAAGAAUUCUUUAGCCGCCGAUCUCUUUCCGUGGUGGGUCAUAAUUCUCACCGCCGCUAUAUGAGGGAGGAUUUCCUCCUCCUCUAUAGUUUAAUUUAUGGUUUAUAUGGGUUCUUGUAUUUUUGGCGUUUCUUAGCUUCUUUCGAGAUUUAGAUUUUGCGUUGGUAAGGUUGUACGGUCUUGGAGGAGUCAUCUGGGGUUGAAUCAGUGCUUGUAUCCCUUUAGUAUAUGUCGAUUAGGUGAGCAGUUGUAGAAAAGACUUCUGUGGUUGUAGCUAGUGCCUAAUCGUUCUGAGUUUCGUGGUUCCUCUUUGUGUCUUUUCUUGACUGUGUUCUGCAUCUGGAGUGUAGUUCCAGCUCAAUUGCUUGUUUCAGGUGAAGUUUUGGUUCAGAGAGUUGGGUUCAGUACUGAGUCUGGCGUCAGAUGUCAGGUCGAAGACCUGUUGAUGGUGUGGUGUAGCUACUGGGAGCAGUGCAGGUGCUUUCGCUAACGUCAUCUUUCGAUUGUUUUCAACUCUAGCUCUUUUGCUGCUCAUCGUUUCUGCAAGGAGUUUAGUUUUCGGUGAGUCGUUGUGUCGAUUGGGUGUUUCUAUGUGCACUUUUAGGUGCCUAUAUCCCGAGUUUGGUUUCCUGUCUCCAGUGUUGGUUCUUCAGUUGGUGCUUUCAUGUUUGUGGCUUUUUCUAAAUGGUUCUGGUUUGGCGUGGAGUUAUAUAUUACUUUGGGUUUUUUCCUGCAACGAAGAAGCGUCCCGAGGAUCCUUGGUUUGCUUUUGAUUUCUCUCUGGUGACAAGGUCUGUAUUAAGGCGUUGUUCCUCGUUCUGCUGUGUAUAUGGCGGGUGGACCUGUUUCUGUCGUUUGGUUUGGUUGUCAAGCAUUUCAGGUGGUGGUGGUCUGUCCUCAUGGAGGCCUAUUCGCGUUUUGUCUGGUUGUCUCCUUGUAAUCUUCCGGUGGUUCUAAACUUCUUGGUUACUAUCUUCUUCUUCCUCUCUUGAACUUUCAGUUACUCGGAGAUUUAAGUUUUGAAUUUCAACUUGGUUCGGUUGCUUAUGUGCCCUAUGGAUGGGCUUUAGUUUUCCUUUUUAUGGGAUUUAGAUUCCCUUCUUAUGGGAUGUACUUGCUAAGGAUAUUUCUUUUGCUUCAGUUCAUGUAUUAAACUUUGUAUUCCACUUUGUUAUCCUAAUAUAAACCAAUUUGACGGAAAAAAUUGUGAAUAUCCAUCUUGCAUAGUAUAUUUUGAAAAAGCGUUGCAUGGAGUGUUUUAGCCUUUUAGGUAAUUCAUUCGCAAUUUGAUGAUGUGUCCGAACGUAUAGUCGUAUAGUUGUAAAAAACCCUGAUUCAAUCAUCUCUAACUUUGUGUUAAUCAAAUUAAUUCAUCUAGUAAAAUAUGUGACUAUUCACAAUAUGGAGAGCAGCCAUAUUAUCACAGUAGCAUGAGAACUAAAUAAUACACAAAGAUCAUGUAAAAAAUGAGAAAGCCAGAUCAAUUCCUUUGUUGCCAUUGCUAGUAAAACAUGGGUGCCAUAGUUUUAGGAUGUAACUGGUAAAUAAAAAAUGAAUAAAUUAAAUAGAUAAGAAUAGAACCUAAAAAAGCAACUUAUUUUAUCCCUUGUUCCGGCGGCGUGCAGACGGCAUCAGAAACGUAACCUUUCCUUCCUUCCUCGUUUUUAUCUGCUCUCGUCCUCCCUGUCUUUCCUUGGUUAAUAUACUUGUUGUUCUGUGAUGUUCUGGUCAUUUCUGAAACUCGAUCACGAUGGAUGGAGUCGGAUUAGGGCUUUUUAUAGAGGGAUGGUGAGACCAAAGGCGGCUUGGUGGAGGCGAGAGUCGACGUUUAGGGUUCAUCUUUGCCAGAUCCAAUUUUCCCCUUUUGAGAUCCCCAACUAAAGCUUCUUGACGACGGCGCGUGACUAGACAUGACAGCUCCUUCACCUAGGAUCUACAUGUCCUUAGCGGCGGUGUGUCUGUAGGAGGAGGUAUUAGACUGGCGCUGAAAAGAGGAUCGGUCUUCAAUUUCGAGAUCGAAGCACGGCACUGACAACGGACUUACCCUCCGAAGAAAAGGUCCCUGCCGGAUUUUACGUGGUGGAGAAGUGCUUACCGGUGCUGGAUUGAGCAUGAGGUUGAUCUUAUAUUUCUACCUCCACACUUUUUCAAACUACAAUUUGGAGUCCUAGUUUCUUUGGCCGAUGUCAAGGCCCAACUUUUAUUCCGGAAAGUCUUGUUUGGCUCAUGGCUAUGUGCCUUAGGCGAGGUCAUAUUAGUCCACAAGCUAAAGGCACACUUUGUGGAGACUAAUAGUGUUGAAGUAACUUUAGAACUGACUGAGUCUUCGCUGUUAACAGUUCAAUACCAUUUUCGGGUUUCAAGGUAAUAUUUGUCUUGAUCCCUGCUUUCCAGUACGGAGCUAUUCUGUUGUUUAGGUUUAGGAGCAGAGCAUUUAACACGGUGGGUAUGCAUUUAUUCAAAAAAUGUUCCAAAAAGUGGAAAGUAUUUGUUAAGAAUUUUAUUCUUAUUCUUGUCUCAUAAGGUUAAAUUAGUAGGUUUAAGAAUAGGUUUUUCUGAAUUUUAGAAGAAGUUUGUAUUUAACUA